rnacentral:rRNA from 1 species
UACGGAGGGUGCAAACGUUAUCCGAAUUCACUGGGUUUAAAGGGUGCGUAGGUGGGCAGGAAAGUCAGUGGUGAAAUCUCCGGGCUUAACCCGGAAACUGCCGUUGAUACUAUUUGUCUUGAAUAUUGUGGAGGUAAGCGGAAUAUGUCAUGUAGCGGUGAAAUGCUUAGAUAUGACAUAGAACACCAAUUGCGAAGGCAGCUUACUACACAAUGAUUGACGCUGAGGCACGAAAGCGUGGGGAUCAAACAGG